rnacentral:rRNA from 3 species
GAGUUUGAUCCUGGCUCAGGACGAACGCUGGCGGCGUGCCUAAUACAUGCAAGUCGAGCGGACAGAUGGGAGCUUGCUCCCUGAUGUUAGCGGCGGACGGGUGAGUAACACGUGGGUAACCUGCCUGUAAGACUGGGAUAACUCCGGGAAACCGGGGCUAAUACCGGAUGGUUGUUUGAACCGCAUGGUUCAAACAUAAAAGGUGGCUUCGGCUACCACUUACAGAUGGACCCGCGGCGCAUUAGCUAGUUGGUGAGGUAACGGCUCACCAAGGCGACGAUGCGUAGCCGACCUGAGAGGGUGAUCGGCCACACUGGGACUGAGACACGGCCCAGACUCCUACGGGAGGCAGCAGUAGGGAAUCUUCCGCAAUGGACGAAAGUCUGACGGAGCAACGCCGCGUGAGUGAUGAAGGUUUUCGGAUCGUAAAGCUCUGUUGUUAGGGAAGAACAAGUACCGUUCGAAUAGGGCGGUACCUUGACGGUACCUAACCAGAAAGCCACGGCUAACUACGUGCCAGCAGCCGCGGUAAUACGUAGGUGGCAAGCGUUGUCCGGAAUUAUUGGGCGUAAAGGGCUCGCAGGCGGUUUCUUAAGUCUGAUGUGAAAGCCCCCGGCUCAACCGGGGAGGGUCAUUGGAAACUGGGGAACUUGAGUGCAGAAGAGGAGAGUGGAAUUCCACGUGUAGCGGUGAAAUGCGUAGAAGAUGUGGAGGAACACCAGUGGCGAAGGCGACUNCU